GAUGAACGCUAGCUACAGGCUUAACACAUGCAAGUCGAGGGACCGGCGCACGGGUGAGUAACACGUCUCCAACCUGCCCUUUACUCGGGGAUAGCCUUUCGAAAGAAAGAUUAAUACCCGAUAUAAAGGAUGGAGAUGCGUUACAUUAGGUGGUUGGUGAGGUAACGGCUGACCAAGCCUUCGAUGGAUAGGGGUUCGGAGAGGAAGGCCCCCUGCAAUGGAAAUGAGACACGGACGAAACUGGUACGGGAGGCAGGAGAGAGGAAUAUUGGGCAAUGGGCGCUAGCCUGAACCAGCCAAGUAGCGUGAAGGAUGAAGGGUUAUUAGUCGUAAAUUACUUUUAUAUAAGAAGAGGUAUUAGAUGAAGAAGGAUCGGCUAACUCCGUGCCAGCAGCCGCGGUAAUAC
rnacentral:rRNA from 1 species